rnacentral:rRNA from 1 species
AGAGUUUGAUCAUGGCUCAGAGCGAACGCUGGCGGCAGGCCUAACACAUGCAAGUCGAACGGACCCUUCGGGGUUAGUGGCGGACGGGUGAGUAACACGUGGGAACGUGCCUUUAGGUUCGGAAUAGCUCCUUGAAACGGGUGGUAAUGCCGAAUGUGCCCUUCGGGGGAAAGAUUUAUCGCCUUUAGAGCGGCCCGCGUCUGAUUAGCUUGUUGGUGAGGUAAUGGCUCACCAAGGCUACGAUCAGUAGCUGGUCUGAGAGGAUGACCAGCCACAUUGGGACUGAGACACGGCCCAAACUCCUACGGGAGGCAGCAGUGGGGAAUCUUGCGCAAUGGGCGAAAGCCUGACGCAGCCAUGCCGCGUGGAUGAUGAAGGUCUUAGGAUUGUAAAAUCCUUUCACCGGUGAAGAUAAUGACUGUAGCCGGAGAAGAAGCCCCGGCUAACUUCGUGCCAGCAGCCGCGGUAAUGCGAAGGGGGCUAGCGUUGCUCGGAAUUACUGGGCGUAAAGGGAGCGUAGGCGGACAUUUAAGUCAGGGGUGAAAUCCCAGAGCUCAACUCUGGAACUGCCUUUGAUACUGGGUGUCUUGAGUGUGAUAGAGGUAUGUGGAACUCCGAGUGUAGAGGUGAAAUUCGUAGAUAUUCGGAAGAACACCAGUGGCGAAGGCGACAUACUGGAUCAUUACUGACGCUGAGGCUCGAAAGCGUGGGGAGCAAACAGGAUUAGAUACCCCGGUAGUCC